rnacentral:rRNA from 1 species
GGUAAUUCUAGAGCUAAUACGUGCCAAUAGCCCCCUGGGCGGUAUUUAUUAGAUGAGCCAACACCUGGUGAUUCAUGACAACUGCGCGGAUCGCAGGGCUCCGGCCGGCGACGCUUCAUUCAAAUCCCUGCCCUAUCAAGUCUCGACGGUAGGAUAGAGGCCUACCGUGCUGGCGACGGGUACGGGGAAUUGGGGUUCGAUUCCGGAGAGGGAGCCUGAGAGACGGCUACCACUUCCAAGGAAGGCAGCAGGCGCGCAAAUUACCCAAUUCCGAUUCGGAGAGGUAGAGACAGGGCAUAACGAUGCGGGUCCCUCUGGGGCCUGCAAUUGGAAUGAGUAAUGUGUAAAGCAAGUAACGAGUAGCUACUCGAGGACAAGUCUGGUGCCAGCACCCGCGGUAAUUCCAGCUCGAGGAAAUUUUAUCAAUGCUGUUGCAGUUGAAACGCUCGUAGUUGGGCCUUGCGCGGCGGGGCGGUGUCCCGCAAGGGGCGACUGUGCUGCCGCGCGUGCGCCGUGGAAACACGGCGGGUUACUGUGAGGAAAUUAGAGUGUUCAACGCAGGCGAUUGCUUGGAUAUGUCAGCAUGGGAUAACAGCCGUGCGAGCGGCCGGCUGUUGGUGGCGGCCACACGUGGUUGAUAGGGACAGUCGGGGGCAUUAGUACUU